CAAUAACAUUCAGUACCCCAAAAUUAUAGUACACAUUUUAUAGCCUAAAAUAAUUUUAUUGGCUAGCCCAAAAGUAUUGUUUUCUGCUUUUUUCUUCAGCAAUUUGAAUUUUUGUUCUGUGAUUCCUUGAUUGAGCUCUUUAGUUUCUCGAUUCUUUGUUUGAUCACAUCGUUCUCGUGAAGAAGCUGAGAUUUCUCUUGCUCCAGUGCCACUAUCUUCUGUUUCAGUGCAGAGGUUUUUGACACAGCACCGGAUUUUCGUCUAUGGAGAUCUCCACCGGUGCAUCAUCAUAAACCUCGUCGUUGGUAAUGUUUUCAUCUGCCAUAGUCAAACCUGAAAAUAGUAAGCAAAAUUGUUAGGAAAAAAAAGCAAAUAAAAUUGCAGUUUACUUCAGCAGCUAAAAUAAUAAAGAUUCUUCUUAGAAUUUGAAAAAAUAAUCCGAAAAAUGAGUAAAUCUGCAACAACGCCAUGGAAGCAACUUCGUCUCAAGUCUCUCACCUCCAAUUCCCAUCUUAAGCAUUCCACCUCCUUUCAACUUGUAAAAUUCCUUUAUUUUUGUUCCAUUUUUUUUCUUAAUGUGUUAUGAAAUCUCCUAUUUAAAGUGAAUGUCUAUAAUUAGAGAGAUUCUAGAGUUCUAUUCNNN
rnacentral:lncRNA from 1 species